CCUCCAGUUCACAGGCCUUUCACCACUGUAGGGAAAGCAGCAGAAAAGUGCCGGGAGAGUCUUGACACAGCAGGAUUUAAUGGGAAGGAAGAAAACAGGGGAAGAGGAGUCAUCAUUUGGAAGAUGCCAAGCAGGCCUAGAAUGUUGCAAAGCCCAAGACUGCUCACCUCUUUUCCAGCUCCCCAUAUCAUCUGUGGGAUCACCUGGAGGCUGAGUCACCACCACUGAGACAAUUUCUCCAACUGUGGAGUUUGAGAGGAAGGCAUUCCUGAUGGAGGGAGGAAACUGCACAUGCGAUGGUAUGGCGGUGAGAAAGAAGCGAACCAGUUCGGGAAGUGCUGAGCAGCCCAGCCUCGCCACAGCUCUCGCCAUGAGGGAGAGAGGGAGAUGGAGCACAACUUCCUACUCUUUAAGUGUCGGCUGCUCACUGUGACUUCCUUCCAAAGAGGACAGUAAGAGCAUCAGUGAGUGUUGCCUGGGACAACUUCUCCCGAGUUAGGAAAUCAACUUGAUGAUGCCAAAGAGGAAAGAACAAAGGCCAGUGGACUGGGAAUCAGAAAACUACUCCAGUCUCUAAUGCGCCACGUGACCAGGUAGAGGAGAAAAAGAUUUUUGUGCGGGCAUUCCAACUGGAUAUAAGCAUGACUGCAAAGGCCAAGCUGACACCAUCAGACCCUUUAUAGAACAGAGACACGAAGACAAUGCCACUAGGAUCUAAGUCCCAGCCCAGUCACUAGGAGAUGGACCUGUGUGGACUGCUACAGAAAGACUUCUCAGCUUCCUCACUCCCUCCUCGGGCUGUCUCCCAAAUGACUGUGGAUGCACUGGAACAGACUCUUCUGUGCGACUCGGAGGCAGAUGACUCUUGUGACGCAGGCUCAAAUCUCAAGAAGAUGGCAUCCCGGGAACACCAAGGGGUGAAGACCAAAAUGUCCUAAGAAAAGGCUGCUCUCUCUGGACAAAGGACCAAGAAAAGUGCAGCCUAGGAAGACAGAAAACUAUUAGACAAUAAUUGCGCUACUCCUGGCAACACCACAGAAAAUGCUAUGGCCCCUUCCCACCCACACUAGUAAAGGUCCUGUGGGAAGCCAAGAUUUCCUCCUUUGCCAGGCUGUAACAAGGUGCUCCAACUCCCCUGCCAUCUCCAACAGGGGUGAUGUCUGAGAAAGUCCAGUAAGGAACCAGAACUUGCAUUCCUGCUGGGUGGUCCUAAGGCGUCCUCCCCUUCCCCUGGGGUGGUGUCAUAGGAGGCCUAGUGGAGUAGACUUUCAGCAUUGCCCAUUUAAGAUGAGGUCCCCCACCCUCCACCAGUGGAGGCAACUCGGGAAGCAAUGAGAGGGUGCUCCAAUGCCUCACACCCAGGGAAUAUCAGUGGAGACUAAUAGAGAACUGGAACUCCCAGUCUUGCCCAGCAAUAACUAGGAGAAACACACACCAGUGUCAACGGAGACUAAGCAGGAGGACUCUGACUUCUAACCCCAUCCCCAUUCCCCUGUUGCAGCAGUGUCAGCUAAAACAGAAGGUUUAAGUAAGACCCAGUCUUAUAACACAAUACCUAAAAUGUCCAGUUUUCAAUCAAAAAUCACUUGUCAG
rnacentral:lncRNA from 1 species